CCUACGGGUGGCAGCAGUGAGGAAUAUUGGUCAAUGGGAGAGAUCCUGAACCAGCCAAGCCGCGUGAGGGAAGACGGCCCUAUGGGUUGUAAACCUCUUUUGUCGGAGAACAAAACCCGGGACGUGUCCCGGACUGCGUGUAUCCGAAGAAAAAGCAUCGGCUAACUCCGUGCCAGCAGCCGCGGUAAUACGGAGGAUGCGAGCGUUAUCCGGAUUUAUUGGGUUUAAAGGGUGAGUAGGCGGUCCGUUAAGUCAGCGGGAAAAUUGCGGGGCUCAACCCCGUCGAGCCGUUGAAACUGGGGGACUUGAGUUGGCGAGAGGUACGCGGAAUGCGCGGUGUAGCGGUGAAAUGCAUAGAUAUCACGCAGAACUCCGAUUGCGAAGGCAGCGUACCGGCGCCAGACUGACGCUGAGGCACGAAAGCGUGGGGAUCGAACAGGAUUAGAUACCCGAGUAGUC
rnacentral:rRNA from 1 species